AAACACAGUGUGGCCAUACCACGUGGUUUGUGACGUCAUUUUGGCUAGCACGCUAAGUAGAAAUUUGUCAACAUUGGCCCCGCUUAGAAAUUUCAAAUCCACAUACACAUGAUGAAAACCGAAGAGCGAUAUAUUUGUGCCAUAUGCGCCAGAGGGGUACAAGCACAGGCGCAAUUUGGUUUACCAUGAAAGAACACACGCUGGGAUGUUACCCUUUAACUGUUGCGGCGUUGGGUUUUCAUCAAAACGACAAUUACAAAGACACAGGUGCAAUGUACACGGUGACGGAAAAACUAUCUUUGCCUUUAUUGUGGAAAAGAAUUCGCAACGAAGGUAGAUUUAGAUGGCCCGAGAACAGCGCACUCGAGAGAUCGAGUGCCAGAUAUGCAACCACAAGGCCACAACACGGGCUCAUCUCCGAGAACAUCUCAAAACACACAGCGAGGAAAAAACACACGUUUGCCAUGUGUGCAAAGCCGCCUAUAAACACAUAAGUUCACUGUAUAGGCACUUUGGGCAAAAGCACAAAUGACGUGUAUACAGUGGUUUUACUUGUUUGUGAUUUACCCGUGAUUUAUUUGUGAUUUACCCGUGAUUGAAUUGUUGCGAUAAAAGCAUAAUCAUCAGAUCUCAAGCAUAAUUAACAUUUGAACCGUAUCUGUUUAUACCACGAUGUUUACUUGUUGCGUUUUUUUAACU